UGGAGAUCUGGCAGGCCAAGGCUUGGGAGCCAUUGUGCCCCCCUCCCUGCCUCCCCCAUCUGUGCAAUAUAGUCCUGGGCUGAGAUCACCAGCCAAACUGAGGGCCUGAGCCGGUUGCUGCGGCAGCACGCAGAGGAUCUGAACUCAGGGCCCCUGAGCAAGCUGAGCCUGCUCAUCCGGGAACGGCAGCAGCUUCGCAAGACCUACAGUGAGCAGUGGCAGCAGCUGCAGCAGGAGCUCACCAAGACCCACAGCCAGGACAUUGAGAAGCUGAAGAGCCAGUACCGAGCUCUGGCACGGGACAGUGCCCAAGCCAAGCGCAAGUACCAGGAGGCCAGCAAAGACAAGGACCGUGACAAGGCCAAGGACAAGUAUGUGCGCAGCCUGUGGAAGCUCUUCGCUCACCACAACCGCUAUGUGCUGGGCGUGCGGGCUGCGCAGCUACACCACCAGCACCACCACCAGCUCCUGCUGCCCGGCCUGCUGCGGUCACUGCAGGACCUGCACGAGGAGAUGGCUUGCAUCCUGAAGGAGAUCCUGCAGGAAU
rnacentral:sRNA from 1 species